AGAGGCCUCAAGCGUUAGGCGGAAUCACUGGGCUUAAAGCGUGUGUAGGCGGAUCGUUAAGUGUCUUGUGAAAUCCCACGGCUCACCCGUGGAACUGCUGGGCAUACUGGCGAUCUUGGGCCAACUAGGGGCAACUGGAACAAGCGGUGGAGCGGUGAAAUGCGUAGAUAUCGCUUGGAACGCCAAAGGUGAAAACAGGUUGCUGGGGUUGUGCCGACGCUGAGACACGAAAGCCAGGGGAGCAAACGGGAUUAGAUACCCCGGUAGUCCUGGCCCUAAACGAUGUCCACUAGAUUGCGGCGGGUUUGACCCCGUCGCGGUCGAAGCAAAAGUGUUAAGUGGACCGCCUGGGAAGUACGGUCGCAAGGCUA
rnacentral:rRNA from 1 species